GGUCUGAGAAGAAAAUUGCAGGUGGCAGUGAUGAUUGAGUUGAUUGCUGGCGCAAUGGACACCAUAUUCUGUUGCAUUUCCUUCAUUCUUGAUGUGUAGCUUUCUGAACUGUUAGGAUGUGGUUUACCUCAAACUUCAAUAGUUUAUUUAGAUGCUAAAUUCAGAUUGCGUUCUAACGCUUAGUAUAACAACAAUGCUCCAUUGCUGGAAUUGAACAGAUUUCUCAUGUUGAGGCAUAAACUUGCUUACCUUUGAUUUAUGUAGUCUAUUAACAUCUUUGUUUCAUUGUUGUUAACAGUGAAAAGGUCGACUUCACUCUGCAAUAAGUGUUGCUUACUUCGAUAAGUCAAGUUAUGAUUGAGCAGUGAAAAGGUUAUCCGUUUUACUAUUAGUACAGCGGAGGAGAUCAUGGCUGAAAAACUGUACGGAUAUAGUGUGAGGCUUCAACAGAUCCUGGCUGAUUUCCUAUUGGUUUAUGUGAACCACUCCAAAUGGCGGUCAGCUUGAGAUUGCUGUCAGUAUGACUAAAGAUAGACUGGUAUAAAGGCUUUAUCUUGCUCAUCUAUAGCUCAGCAAUGCUGGUGGUAGUGGAUGUCGCAGUGUAGGUGGUUUGUUGUGUUAGCAAUUGUGGUGGGGGUAGUUGCGACAGAUAAUAUGAACUUGUGUUGGAUGCACGCAAACUACUAGUGGUGCAACGGUAGCACAACUGACUUCAUGUCAGAUGAUGUGUGUUCGACUCACGCCAGGUUCACUUUUUUUGCGUAUACUUUCUUUUGGAGACAACUUGUCCGAGUUGUUUCCAUAUGUGGAGACACCUUGAGCUAGUUGCCGCCAUAUUUGAAAGCAACUUGUUCGGAGACAACUCUAUCUAGUUAGCUUGAGAUUCGGAGACAAAUUUGAAUUAGUUGCCUUCAGAUUUGGAGACAACUAGUUUACUCCACAUGGUGGUGGUGGAAUUGGUGGUUGCUGGUGGUGAUUGGUGGCGACGGUGGCGGUGGAUGAAAGUGGUGGUGGAUGGACAGUGGCGCUGGUUGUCGGUGGUGGUGGUUGAC